rnacentral:lncRNA from 1 species
GUAUUAAAAGUAUUUAGACAAUAAAUUUUACGAUUUAUCAUAUCAUUUACUUAGUAAUUGAAAGAGUCUAAAGUUAAUAAUUAUAAUAAUUAGGGGAUGAGCCGUUUGCAAAUUUAGUAGUAUAGAAAUAUCUAGGUCAUAUAAAAUUUGAUAUAAAAGUUUUUAUAAUAUAUAAAACAAGCUCAAUGUUUUUUAUCUAAAAUUUUAGCAUCGUAUUAUUAGUUUUUGUGAGAUUUUUAUUUUUAGCUGUUAAUUUUAAAUAUUUUCGAGUACGAGGCAAAUGAUAACCAAGAUUUGCAAAAUUUAUUUUAUAGAUGCUUUCAAUACUGUACAUCGAAUCUAACUACGUCGAUCAUUGAUUUGAAAGCCUCAGCAUCGUAUACUAUUAAUUAAUAAUACAAU